rnacentral:rRNA from 1 species
CAGUCGAGCGGAACGAGUUAUCUGAACCUUCGGGGAACGAUAACGGCGUCGAGCGGCGGACGGGUGAGUAAUGCCUAGGAAAUUGCCCUGAUGUGGGGGAUAACCAUUGGAAACGAUGGCUAAUACCGCAUGAUGCCUACGGGCCAAAGAGGGGGACCUUCGGGCCUCUCGCGUCAGGAUAUGCCUAGGUGGGAUUAGCUAGUUGGUGAGGUAAGGGCUCACCAAGGCGACGAUCCCUAGCUGGUCUGAGAGGAUGAUCAGCCACACUGGAACUGAGACACGGUCCAGACUCCUACGGGAGGCAGCAGUGGGGAAUAUUGCACAAUGGGCGCAAGCCUGAUGCAGCCAUGCCGCGUGUAUGAAGAAGGCCUUCGGGUUGUAAAGUACUUUCAGUCGUGAGGAAGGCGUUGUCGUUAAUAGCUGCAUCGUUUGACGUUAGCGACAGAAGAAGCACCGGCUAACUCCGUGCCAGCAGC